rnacentral:lncRNA from 1 species
AACCUGCUUAUGCAUAUGAUGCAUGCAAUGCUUGUGCAUAUGAUUUGUUUUAUUUCAAAGGAACUCUAGGGUUUUAUUUGUAAAUUUUUGGAAAUAUUAAGCAUUUUAUUGCAUAUGGAAAUAUCUCAUCAAAUAUAUCAGGGAAAAGAAGUACAGCAUUGUCAAUCGUAUACAAGAGAAAAGGAAAAUAAUCAUCCUAUGGAUCCCUAGAAACAACAUCUGAAGCUCGGGACACAAGAAGAAAAGAUGCACGAAGCCUCUUCACCUCUCUCUCAUAAGCUG